rnacentral:rRNA from 1 species
CCGUCUAUAUACGUAUAGCAUAUCAAUAAGCGGAGGAAAAGAAACUAACUAGGAUUCCCUCAGUAACGGCGAGUGAAGCGGGAAGAGCUCAAAUUUGAAAUCUUCAAGGUUCUACCUUGACGAAUUGUAGCUUAAAGAAGUGUUUUCUGUUGGAGUUUUGGUAAAAGUUCUUUGGAAUAGGACAUCAUAGAGGGUGAGAAUCCCGUAUUUGACCAUUAUUUCCAACUUUGUGAUACACUUUCAAAGAGUCGGAUUGUUUGGGAAUGCAGUCCAAAAUGGGUGGUAAAUUUCAUCUAAAGCUAAAUACUGGCGAGAGACCGAUAGCGAACAAGUACCGUGAGGGAAAGAUGAAAAGAACUUUGAAAAGAGAGUUAAACAGUACGUGAAAUUGUCAAAAGGGAAGCGUUUGACACCAGUGUUGUUUUCUCGAAAAUCAAUUAAAAAUGGCAGGAUUUUGUGUUGUAUUGACUUUAUCAGCUUUCUGCACUUUUUUCCUGUCUUUUUUAAUGCACUUUUCGUUUAACAAGUCAACAUCAAUUUCUUUUGUUGUAAAAGAGUCAUUGGAAGGUGGCUUUCACUUCGGUGAAAGUGUUUAUAGCCUUUGGCUUCUGCAAUCGGAGAGAUUGAGGUCUGCAGCGUAGAUCCUUCGGGGUUAGAUGCAUUUGUGCUAAGCUAUAGCCUUUCAUAGACAACUUGUUGACUAUGAUCAGUCAUGUAGCUUACUCGCUUAUGUCAUUUUACCUACGCUUAGGAUGUUGACGAUCAGCUGAGCGCG